rfam:Colletotrichum gloeosporioides Nara gc5 unplaced genomic scaffold scaffold352, whole genome shotgun sequence.
GCUUCCGUGGCUCAGUUGGAAGAGCGUUGGUCUCAUAGAAACUGUUUAUGACUCUGCCCCAGGUGGAGAUAUCCAAAGGUCGCAAGUUCGAGCCUUGCCGGGAGCA